GAGAAGUGUUGAAAUAUACAAGGUCUGAGAAGUGUUGAAAUAUACAAGGUCUGAGAAGUAACACUUCUCAGACCUUGUAUAUUUCAACACUUCUCAGA
rnacentral:pre_miRNA from 1 species